GUGAGGAAUAUUGCGCAAUGGAGGCAACUCUGACGCAGCCAUGCCGCGUGCAGGAAGAAGGCGCUACGCGUUGUAAACUGCUUUUAACCGGGAAGAAACCCCAGGACGUGUCCUGGGUUGACGGUACCGGAGGAAUAAGCACCGGCUAACUUCGUGCCAGCAGCCGCGGUAAUACGAAGGGUGCAAGCGUUAUCCUGAUUCAUUGGGUUUAAAGGGUGCGUAGGCGGAGCGUUAAGUCAGUGGUGAAAUCCUGCAGCUCAACUGUAGACUUGCCAUUGAUACUGGCGCUCUUGAGUGCUCUUGAAGUGGGCGGAAUGUGCCGUGUAGCGGUGAAAUGCUUAGAUAUGGCACAGAACACCAAUUGCGAAGGCAGCUCACUAAGGCGAUACUGACGCUGAGGCACGAAAGCGUGGGGAUCGAACAGGAUUAGAUACCCUAGUAGUCC
rnacentral:rRNA from 1 species